CCUACGGGAGGCAGCAGUGAGGAAUAUUGGUCAAUGGACGCGAGCCUGAACCAGCCAAGUAGCGUGAAGGAUGACUGCCCUACGGGUUGUAAACUUCUUUUAUAAGGGAAUAAAGUGAUGCACGUGUGCCUUUUUGUAUGUACUUUAUGAAUAAGGAUCGGCUAACUCCGUGCCAGCAGCCGCGGUAAUACGGAGGAUCCGAGCGUUAUCCGGAUUUAUUGGGUUUAAAGGGAGCGUAGAUGGGUUGUUAAGUCAGUGGGGAAAGUAUGAGGCUCAACCGUGAAAUUGCAAUUGAUACUGGUAGUCUAGAGAGUAGGUGAGGUAGGCGGAAUGCGUGGUGUAGCGGUGAAAUGCUUAGAUAUCAUGCAGAACACCGAUUGCGAAGGCAGCUUACUAAGCUGCCACUGACGUUGAGGCACGAAAGCGUGGGUAUCAAACAGGAUUAGAUACCCCAGUAGUC
rnacentral:rRNA from 1 species